CCUACGGGAGGCAGCAGUGAGGAAUAUUGGUCAAUGGGCGCGAGCCUGAACCAGCCAAGUAGCGUGAGGGAUGAAGGUUCUAUGGAUCGUAAACCUCUUUUAUAAGGGAAUAAAGUGUGGGACGUGUCCUAUUUUGUAUGUACCUUAUGAAUAAGGAUCGGCUAACUCCGUGCCAGCAGCCGCGGUAAUAAGGAGGAACCGAGCGUUAUCCGGAUUUAUUGGGUUGAAAGGGUGCGUAGGCGGCCUUUUAAGGCAGCGGUGAAAGUUUGGGGCUCAACCAUAGAAUUGCCGUUGAAACUGGGUGGCUUGAGUAUGUUUGAGGCAGGCGGAAUGCGUGGUGUAGCGGUGAAAUGCUUAGAUAUCACGCAGAACCCCGAUUGCGAAGGCAGCCUGCCAAGCCAUGACUGACGCUGAUGCACGAAAGCGUGGGGAUCAAACAGGAUUAGAUACCCCUGUAGUC
rnacentral:rRNA from 1 species